rnacentral:misc_RNA from 1 species
ACCUGGCCUAUCAGGGAUAGGUCUCAAGAUAUCCACCAGCAAAGGAAUAGAUUUGCGUGCGGUGGAACCAACUCUUAUAUCUUCAAUUUCAAAAAGGUGUUCCAGAGUAAUUUGACUAGGAUUUUGUAACAGAGAAAAUUCUUCCGAUAAAGCAACAAGGUUUUGCAUAUCUGAUUCUAUGUAACCAAUUAGCGCUAUUAAACCAGCAACAGCACCUGAAUUUGCA